CAGUGGGGAAUAUUGGACAAUGGGGGCAACCCUGAUCCAGCCAUGCCGCGUGUGUGAAGAAGGCCUUUUGGUUGUAAAGCACUUUAAGCAGGGAGGAGAGGCUAAUGGUUAAUACCCAUUAGAUUAGACGUUACCUGCAGAAUAAGCACCGGCUAACUCUGUGCCAGCAGCCGCGGUAAUACAGAGGGUGCGAGCGUUAAUCGGAAUUACUGGGCGUAAAGCGAGUGUAGGUGGCUCAUUAAGUCACAUGUGAAAUCCCCGGGCUUAACCUGGGAACUGCAUGUGAUUACUUGGUGGCGCUAGAAUAUGUGAGAGGUAAGUAGAAUUUCCAGGUGUAGCGGCGAAAUGCGUAGAGAUCUGGAGGAAUACCGGUGGCGAAGGCAGCUUCCUGGCAUAAUAUUGACACUGAGAUUCGAAAGCGUGGGUAGCAAACAGGAUUAGAUACCCUGGUAGUCCACGCCGUAAACGAUGUCUACUAGCCGUUGGGGUCCUUGAGACUUUAGUGGCGCAGUUAACGCGAUAAGUAGACCGCCUGGGGAGUACGGCCGCAAGGUUAAAACUCAAAUGAAUCGACGGGGGCCCGCACAAGCGGUGGAGCAUGUGGUUUAAUUCGAUGCAACGCGAAGAACCUUACCUGGUCUUGACAUAGUGAGAAUCUUUCAGAGAUGAGAGAGUGCCUUCGGGAAUUCACAUACAGGUGCUGCAUGGCUGUCGUCAGCUCGUGUCGUGAGAUGUUGGGUUAAGUCCCGCAACGAGCGCAACCCUUU
rnacentral:rRNA from 1 species